GAUGAACGCUGGCGGCGUGCCUAACACAUGCAAGUCGAACGAAGCAUCUUAUCUUGAUUUCUUCGGAUUGAUUGAUUUGAUGACUGAGUGGCGGACGGGUGAGUAACGCGUGGGUAACCUGCCUUAUACAGGGGGAUAACAGUUAGAAAUGACUGCUAAUACCGCAUAAGCGCACAGUAUCGCAUGAUACAGUGGGCACAACUCCGGUGGUAUAAGAUGGACCCGCGUCUGAUUAGCUAGUUGGUGAGGUAAUGGCUCACCAAGGCGACGAUCAGUAGCCGGCCUGAGAGGGUGAACGGCCACAUUGGGACUGAGACACGGCCCAAACUCCUACGGGAGGCAGCAGUGGGGAAUAUUGCACAAUGGGGGAAACCCUGAUGCAGCGACGCCGCGUGAGCGAUGAAGUAUUUCGGUAUGUAAAGCUCUAUCAGCAGGGAAGAAAAUGACGGUACCUGACUAAGAAGCCCCGGCUAACUACGUGCCAGCCGCCGCCGUAAGAC
rnacentral:rRNA from 1 species